rnacentral:rRNA from 1 species
CCUACGGGAGGCAGCAGUGAGGAAUAUUGGUCAAUGGGCGCUAGCCUGAACCAGCCAAGUAGCGUGAAGGAUGACUGCCCUAUGGGUUGUAAACUGCUUUUAUAUGAGAAUAAAGUGCAGUAUGUAUACUGCUUUGCAUGUACCUUAUGAAUAAGGAUCGGCUAACUCCGUGCCAGCAGCCGCGGUAAUACGGAGGAUUCGAGCGUUAUCCGGAUUUAUUGGGUUUAAAGGGAGCGUAGGCGGGUUGUUAAGUCAGUUGUGAAAGUUUGCGGCUCAACCGUAAAAUUGCAGUUGAUACUGGCAGCCUUGAGUACAGUAGAGGUAGGCGGAAUUCGUGGUGUAGCGGUGAAAUGCUUAGAUAUCACGAAGAACUCCGAUUGCGAAGGCAGCCUGCUGGACUGUAACUGACGCUGAUGCUCGAAAGUGUGGGUAUCAAACAGGAUUAGAUACCCCAGUAGUC